AGAGUUUGAUCCUGGCUCAGAGUGAACGCUGGCGGCAGGCCUAACACAUGCAAGUCGAGCGGCAGCACGGGUAGCAAUACCUGGUGGCGAGCGGCGGACGGGUGAGGAAUACAUCGGAAUCUGCCUUGUCGUGGGGGAUAACGUAGGGAAACUUACGCUAAUACCGCAUACGACCGAGAGGUGAAAGCGGGGGAUCGCAAGACCUCGCGCGACAAGAUGAGCCGAUGUCGGAUUAGCUAGUUGGCGGGGUAAGAGCCCACCAAGGCGACGAUCCGUAGCUGGUCUGAGAGGAUGAUCAGCCACACUGGAACUGAGACACGGUCCAGACUCCUACGGGAGGCAGCAGUGGGGAAUAUUGGACAAUGGGCGCAAGCCUGAUCCAGCCAUGCCGCGUGGGUGAAGAAGGCCUUCGGGUUGUAAAGCCCUUUUGUUGGGGACGAAAUCGUACGGGUGAAUAUCCCGUGCGGAUGACGGUACCCAAAGAAUAAGCACCGGCUAACUUCGUGCCAGCAGCCGCGGUAAUACGAAGGGUGCAAGCGUUACUCGGAAUUACUGGGCGUAAAGCGUGCGUAGGCGGUUUGUUAAGUCCGCUGUGAAAGCCCUGGGCUCAACCUGGGAAUUGCAGUGGAUACUGGCAAGCUAGAGUGCGGUAGAGGAUGGUGGAAUUCCCGGUGUAGCGGUGAAAUGCGUAGAGAUCGGGAGGAACACCCGUGGCGAAGGCGGCCAUCUGGACCAGCACUGACGCUGAGGCACGAAAGCGUGGGGAGCAAACAGGAUUAGAUACCCUAGUAGUCC
rnacentral:rRNA from 1 species